rnacentral:rRNA from 1 species
GACGAACGCUGGCGGCGUGCCUAAUACAUGCAAGUCGAGCGAACUGAUGAAGAGCUUGCUUUUGAUCAGUUAGCGGCGGACGGGUGAGUAACACGUGGGUAACCUGCCUGUAAGACUAGGAUAACUCCGGGAAACCGGGGCUAAUACUAGAUAACUUUUCUCUCCGCAUGGAGAGAGAUUGAAAGAUGGCUUCGGCUAUCACUUACAGAUGGACCCGCGGCGCAUUAGCUAGUUGGUGAGGUAACGGCUCACCAAGGCAACGAUGCGUAGCCGACCUGAGAGGGUGAUCGGCCACAUUGGGACUGAGACACGGCCCAAACUCCUACGGGAGGCAGCAGUAGGGAAUCUCCCGCAAUGGACGAAAGUCUGACGGAGCAACGCCGCGUGAGUGAAGAAGGUCUUCGGAUCGUAAAACUCUGUUGUUAGGGAAGAACAAGUAUCGUUCGAAUAGGGCGGUACCUUGACGGUACCUAACCAGAAAGCCACGGCUAACUACGUGCCAGCAGCCGCUGUAAUAC